rnacentral:rRNA from 1 species
GUGGGGAAUCUUGCGCAAUGGGCGAAAGCCUGACGCAGCCAUGCCGCGUGAAUGAUGAAGGUCUUAGGAUUGUAAAAUUCUUUCACCGGGGACGAUAAUGACGGUACCCGGAGAAGAAGCCCCGGCUAACUUCGUGCCAGCAGCCGCGGUAAUACGAAGGGGGCUAGCGUUGCUCGGAAUUACUGGGCAUAAAGGGCGCGUAGGCGGACAGUUUAGUCAGAGGUGAAAGCCCAGGGCUCAACCUUGGAAUUGCCUUUGAUACUGGCUGUCUUGAGUACGGGAGAGGUGAGUGGAACUCCGAGUGUAGAGGUGAAAUUCGUAGAUAUUCGGAAGAACACCAGUGGCGAAGGCGACUCACUGGCCCAAUACUGACGCUGAGGCGCGAAAGCGUGGGGAGCAAACAGGAUUAGAAACCCCUGUAGUCC